GACGAACGCUGGCGGCGUGCUUAACACAUGCAAGUCGAGCGGAAAGGCCUUUCGGGGUACUCGAGCGGCGAACGGGUGAGUAACACGUGGGUAACCUGCCUUCAGCUCUGGGAUAAGCCUGGGAAACUGGGUCUAAUACCGGAUACGACACGCGGCCGCAUGGUUGUGUGUGGAAAGUUUUUCGGCUGGAGAUGGACUCGCGGCCUAUCAGCUUGUUGGUGGGGUAGUGGCCUACCAAGGCGAUGACGGGUAGCCGGCCUGAGAGGGCGACCGGCCACACUGGGACUGAGACACGGCCCAGACUCCUACGGGAGGCAGCAGUGGGGAAUAUUGCGCAAUGGGCGAAAGCCUGACGCAGCAACGCCGCGUGAGGGAUGACGGCCUUCGGGUUGUAAACCUCUUUCAGCGCUGACGAAGCCUUCGGGUGACGGUAGGCGCAGAAGAAGCACCGGCUAACUACGUGCCAGCAGCCGCGGUAAUACGUAGGGUGCGAGCGUUGUCCGGAAUUAUUGGGCGUAAAGGGCUCGUAGGCGGUUUGUUGCGUCUGCUGUGAAAGCCCGGGGCUUAACCCCGGGUCUGCAGUGGAUACGGGCAGGCUAGAGUCCGGCAGGGGAGACUGGAAUUCCUGGUGUAGCGGUGGAAUGCGCAGAUAUCAGGAGGAACACCGGUGGCGAAGGCGGGUCUCUGGGCCGGUACUGACGCUGAGGAGCGAAAGCGUGGGGAGCGAACAGGAUUAGAUACCCUGGUAGUCCACGCCGUAAACGUUGGGCGCUAGGUGUGGGUUCCCUUCCACGGGAUCCGUGCCGUAGCUAACGCAUUAAGCGCCCCGCCUGGGGAGUACGGCCGCAAGGC
rnacentral:rRNA from 1 species